rnacentral:rRNA from 1 species
UACAGAGGGCGCAAGCGUUAAUCGGAAUUACUGGGCGUAAAGCGUGCGUAGACGGUAGCGUAAGUCGGGUGUGAAAGCCCCGGGCUCAACCUGGGAAUUGCAUUCGAGACUGCUCUGCUAGGGUGCGGAAGAGGGAAGCGGAAUUUCCGGUGUAGCGGUGAAAUGCGUAGAUAUCGGAAGGAACACCAGUGGCGAAAGCGGCUUCCUGGUCCAGCACCGACGUUCAGGCACGAAAGCGUGGGGAGCAAACAGG